GGAAUAUUGGUCAAUGGACGCAAGUCUGAACCAGCCAUGCCGCGUGAAGGAUGAAGGUCCUCUGGAUUGUAAACUUCUUUUAUCUGGGACGAAAACGGGAUUUUUAUCUCAAUUGACGGUACCAGAGGAAUAAGCACCGGCUAACUCCGUGCCAGCAGCCGCGGUAAUACGGAGGGUGCGAGCGUUAUCCGGAUUUACUGGGUUUAAAGGGUGCGUAGGUGGGCUUAUAAGUCAGUGGUGAAAUCUCCGAGCUUAACUUGGAAACUGCCGUUGAUACUAUAGGUCUUGAAUUAUCUGGAGGUAAGCUGAAUAUGUCAUGUAGCGGUGAAAUGCUUAGAUAUGACAUAGAACACCAAUCGCGAAGGCAGCUUACUACAUAUAAAUUGACGCUGAGGCACGAAAGCGUGGGGA
rnacentral:rRNA from 1 species